rnacentral:lncRNA from 1 species
GUCUUAGCUCCAGAUUCCGCGCCUUCCAGCCCCACAGCCGCUUGCUCUCCUCUGGGCUAUUUCCUCUCUCAGAGCCCUCGCGUCCCUCUUCACAAGUCCUCUGCAAUCGCCUAGCACCGCUUCCGCACACACCCAUGGGUGCUGUCCUUCUGCCAGAUGCGAGUGGACAUGCAGAAUCCCCUCCCUGACCAAAACAGGACAGCAUUUAAGCCCUGCCAUCCACGCCAGCGCUUUUCAACUCUAGAAUGCAGCAGCUUCCCAGGACUGCAAAUUCAAAGAGAGAUUCUCCCACCACGCAC